GACGAACGCUGGCGGCGUGCUUAACACAUGCAAGUCGAGCGGAAAGGCCCUUCGGGGUACUCGAGCGGCGAACGGGUGAGUAACACGCGAGCAACCUGCCCUGGACUUUGGGAUAACCCUCGGAAACGGGGGCUAAUACCGGAUAUUACCUUUGCCCGCAUGGGUGUUGGUGGAAAGUUUUUCGGUCUGGGAUGGGCUCGCGGACUAUCAGCUUGUUGGUGGGGUGAUGGCCUACCAAGGCGACGACGGUUAGCCGGCCUGAGAGGGCGACCGGCCACACUGGGACUGAGACACGGCCCAGACUCCUACGGGAGGCAGCAGUGGGGAAUAUUGCACAAUGGGCGGAAGCCUGAUGCAGCGACGCCGCGUGAGGGAUGACGGCCUUCGGUUG
rnacentral:rRNA from 1 species